CUCCGGAGGGAAACGGACGGUGAGUAACACGUGGGUAACCUUGUUUUGCUAAGAGUGGGAUAACUUCCGGGAAACCGGGGCUUAAUACCGGAGUGGUUGUUUGAACCGCAUGGUUCAAACAUAAAAGGGGGCUUUGGGCUUACCAUUUAAAGAGGGCCCCGCGGCGCUAUUAGCUUAGGUGGAGAGGCUAACGGCUCCACCAAGGCGACGAUCGUAGCCAACCGUAGAGGGUUUUUGGCCACACUUGGGACAUGAGACACGGCCCAGACUUCUACGGGAGGCAGCAGUAGGGAAUCUUUCCGCAAUGGACAAAAGUUUGACGGACCACGCCGCGAGAGUGAUGAAGGUUUCGGGACAAAAAGCUUUUGUUGAAAGGGAAAAACAAGGUGCCGUUAAAUAGGGGGGCCCUUUGACGGACAAAACCAGAAGCCACGGAUACUACGUGCCAGGAGCCGCGAAAAUACGAAGGGUGAAAGCGUUGUCGGAAUUAUGGGCGAAAAGGGCUCGAGGGGUUUUAAAAGUAAGAUGGAAAAGCCCCCGGGUCAAC
rnacentral:rRNA from 1 species